rnacentral:lncRNA from 1 species
AGAUUAAAUACCGAUGAGUUAAUAAUUUGUUCACAGAUAAUAAAACGUGCAGCGUUACCGAAAGUGAUCAGUUCGUACAGUAAGAUUCCAAAGGACCACGUGCAGGGAGGAGAAAGCGUGAGUAAACGUUUUGACGUAACGUUUCUUUGUGUCGUCAGACAUGAAGUGUUCUUACACGUCGCUCCAGUUGAUGCUGAGCUGCAUCAUGAUCCUUUCCGGAGCCUGCCACUUCAGCGGCACCUCGGCGCAGACAAUGACAAAAUGGUUCCCAACCCCUGCCCUACCCGGAGUAGGCAAUCCACCGGUUUCCUGCUGAGAGCCAUGGCCUCAGAUUUGGAGGUGCUGAUCCUCAUCCCAACCGCUUCACACUCAGCUGCGAACCGAUCCAGCGACUGUUGAAGGUCACAGACCGAUGAUGCCAUAAGGACCACAUCAUCUGCAAAGAGCAGCGAUGAGAUCCUCACGCAACCCCUCUCGAUACGAUAUCCUGUCCAUGAAAAUCACAAAAAGGAUUGGUGAUAAAGCGCAGCCCUGGCGGAGGCCAACAUUCACUGUGAACGAGUCAACUCUCACUUUGGGCUGUAAUAGCAAUUUAAAUGUCUACUGUUUUAAAUAAUGUUCUAAUAAUGUUACAAGUGAUGAUCUGCCUAUUUCUCUUUCUAUGCAUUUGCAAAACUUUACAAAUUCCCUUAUCAAGCCAGGGUCAACUGCCUUUUCUUGUCUUAAUGGGGGAGGCAUUGUAAAAUAGGACACAGAUGGUCCUCUCUCUUUAGAUUUACAUACUGAUUAACUCUCUGAGAAAGAAUCUUGGGUGUGCCAUUUGUUUUAGUGUUUACAUAACUGUUAUCAAGGAGACGGUCAUGAUACUAUUUUGCUCCAAGAAACAAAUGUCUAUGUAUAUAUACCCAAAGCUAAAAGGUUUGAGUUUCCCAGGACUGAGUUCAUCAGAUUGGAGGAGAUGACCUUACAAACAUCAAAAGGAACUAAUCUAACAGAGAUCAUCUUUGGUUUGUUGCUUGUUUACAGUGAAUAACAGAUGUGCUGAUCAAUCACCUAUUGACUGAUGUUUUAUUGUUCUAUAGGUCAUCAGCAGGUUGUCCCCUGUCUCCUGCUGUGUUUAUGACUCAGUCACUAAAAAGUCAAGGAACAAGAGUGUAUAAAUUGUCUAUGUAUCUUCAUUCAAACUGUGCCCUCCUACAGACUAUGUUGUAUUCUGUAGAACUGGUGCCAAUUUGAGAUCUCAA